CCAUCAUCCUGACUCUUAAAGCUGCUCCUGGAUCAGCCACUUAGUGUCCUGUGGCCUGGAGUUUCCAAGCACCCCAGAGCUCUGCAAUCAUUUCCUCUCAGCUCAAACAGCUCACACCCCUUCCCUGGGGUCUCCGUGACAUACAGUAUUACUGACAACACAGGGUGUUUCAGCCUCAAGUCUUGGACUAGCUACUGAAUUCGAAGACCCAAAUAUUCACUUCACCACUUAGGUGAAAUAUGUACAAUGCCUUCUGAAUUGAAAAGUCUGGCACUGAAAGAGUGAGCUCUGCCUUCGACAACACUCAUGGAGUAGGAAUACACAGGCUGUGUCUUCACUAAUGGUUGGUGAUCAUUUUAACCGUGCACGUCUCUCAUCUUGGGCCAAUGUUAGUGCCAGGUGAUCUCAGAAACCACGAGACGAUGUUGUCACCAUCAGUCUAAGUCAGCGUGAAGCAGGAAUGCCACAUGACCAAAACAUCGCAUCAGUCUCUCAGCUACGUCUGAAAUAAACAUCUGUGAUGUGAGCCAUGAAAAUCUAUUUAUUUCUAGCAUUGGACUAAUUAAUUAAUAAAUCUCUUUAAUCUCCAAGUACAGAAAAUGCCAUGUAAAUUUGUCAUUACCCAGCUUGCAUUUUCUCUUGACAAUAUACUCAAGAGACACAUGUGGAGAAAAUCUAAAAAUAUAUUACACAAAGUAUUGAA